AAAGUCCUUACUGGGAAAGGUCUAGCCAACCACCCAUACCGAGUGUGGCGUUGAAGUUGGUAACAACAAAACGAAGCGAACACAGGGAAUCAUAUAGACCA
rfam:Clostridiales bacterium GWC2_40_7 gwc2_scaffold_9557, whole genome shotgun sequence.